rnacentral:rRNA from 1 species
UACAGAGGGUGCGAGCGUUAAUCGGAAUUACUGGGCGUAAAGCGUGCGUAGACGGUUAUCUAAGUCGGAUGUGAAAGCCCCGGGCUCAACCUGGGAAUUGCAUUCGAGACUGAAUAGCUAGGGUACGGUAGAGGGAAGUGGAAUUUCCGGUGUAGCGGUGGAAUGCGUAGAGAUCGGGAAGAACAUCAGUGGCGAAGGCGGUCUGCUGGGCCGUUGCUGACGCUGAGGCGCGACAGCGUGGGGAGCAAACAGG